UCCUUUGAAAUCAAGAUAUACGUUUCAUGUGUGUGUUGAAUUAUUGACCGGCCCUUGAAGCUGUCACGAAGUAAUCAAGGCAAUUUGGGCUUAGCAUCGCCAUCACCAUCUCCUUGUCAUGCAUCCGUUUAGCUUCGUGUUGGUCAGAAUUUGUCAAAGCAGCAAGCAGCAGCCGAAGAGGAGUUAGCCUUGCGGCGUGAUGAGCAACCUUAUCCAUGAGCUGAAGGCUGAAGUAGGAUCUAUCAGGUGCGCGACCGGCGCUCCCGGUGGGAGUAGCCCCCGAGUCCUGUUGCGACUGUGAGGAGUCGUGACUGGACUCAAGUUGAAGUCAUUGGGUCUUGUAAUCUUGUGUAAUCUUUGUAUUUUUUGAGUAAAAUAUCUGCUCCCGUUGGAAAACGGCUUGAAGGCUUCAAACGUGACUUGAACUCUGAUUCCUGGUAGGAGUUGAAUAUGAACUCGGUUUGAAUUCCGAUUCCUGAUAGGAGUAGCCCCCGAGUGUGUGGCUGGCUAUAAGUAGUCAGGCACAGACUCAGGUUUUAAUCCAGCCAAAGUAGUAGCACGCUUGCGAUGAGUUCCCCAGAUGCUCUUGAGGUGAUGUGCACGUGAUUGAAGUACGCGGAGCGGCAAGUUCUGAUUGCUCGUGAUGAAAUUGCUGUGCUCGAGUCGAAGCUCCAGGCUGCUUCGAGUCGAGAGGGCUUUCUUCUUGGAGAACUGGUGAAGCUGAGUCACGAUCUCAGAGGGAUUGUGCCGGAGCCGCAUGCUGAAGCUGAGAGAGUCAAGAAUCGGCUGAACCGCAUUUUGUAUUCGGGUCCUGCUGCCCCAAUCUUUUGGUCCAAUCGUGACAGAGGGUACACAUUGGCACUGCUGCAAGACCGAGUUUCUUGGGCUGUGACCUGCCUUGAGUCGUGUCAAGAUUGCUUGACAACUGAGCACAAUAUCCUGUUUCCAGAACUGACGAGUCCAAAAGAUCUGAAAGGUUUGAUCCAGAGAUUUCGUGGAGGUGACUCGGUAAAGGGGGUUUUGCUGGAACAAAUGACGGAAGGGGCAGUUGUGGCCCUUGCGUUUGUUCGGCUUCGCUACCCUUCACUCGAUUUAGAGAUGUUGCAUGUUCCACCUCCAUCGGCGCCAAAAGAUCUCCCACUGGGACCACUUUACGAUGCAGUGGAGCUCGUGGCUCGCUAGCUGAUCGUGGCCGUGGUAUUAGAGUAGAAUUUCUCCUUAAGUGCAAUUGUAGGCUUGGAGCCUGUCGGGUGCGCGACCAGCGCUCCCGACGGGAGUAGCCCCCGGGUCUAUGAGCAACUGUUUGCAGUCGGGGGUAGACCCAAG